rnacentral:rRNA from 1 species
ACGGGGUGCAGCAGGCGCGAAAACUUGGCAAUGCGAGAAAUCGUGACCAGGGAACUCCAAGUGCAUGGGGUAAGACCUAUGCUUUUCUAGACUCUAAAAAGGUCUUGGAAUAAGAGGUGGGUAAGGACGGUGCCAGCCGCCGCGGUAAUACCGGCGCCUCAAGUGGUAGUCGCUUUUAUUGGGCCUAAAACGUCCGUAGCCGGUCUGAUACAUUCGUGGGUAAAUCAACCAGCUUAACUGGUUGAAUUCUGCGAGGACGGUCAGACUUGGGACCGGGAGAGGUGUGGGGUACGCUCAGGGUAGGGGUAAAAUCCUGUCAUCCUGAGCGGACCACCUGUUGCGAAGGCGCCACACUAGAACGGAUCCGACGGUCAGGGACGAAGCCUAGGGGCACGAACCGGAUUAGAUACCCGGGUAGUCCUAGGUGUAAACGCUGCGGACUUGAUGUUGGGGGUGCUCCGAGCACUCUCAGUGUCGAAGCGAAGGCGAUAAGUCCACUGCCUGGGAAGUACGGUCGCAAGGCUGAAACUUAAAGGAAUUGGCGGG